CAGAGUUACUGUCAGGACAGAUGAUAUGGAGUGUUGAAAGUUUUUUUUUCUUCCUUUAAAAUAGUAGUAUGCUAAGAUGGAUUAGACUUUUAGUUUAUUUCAGUGCGUAUCCAGAUAUUAACUGUCGCUCUGAGGAGCUGAUACAGUAAGCGAAAUGAAGAACUGCAGUUCAUGCAAGACCUACAGAGAAUUGUCUCAGUCUCUGAAGAAGAAAUCUUCUAUAACAAGAGGCAGCAGGAAAGCAUACAGUCAGAUUGGUUGAAUCUACUGUAAUCUGAUGCUCAUGAUUGCAAUCUUUCUCAAGAUGAAAGGGUGGCUGAUACCUAUCUUGUACAAUUAUGCAAAUGAUGUCUAAUGGUUUAAAGGCUAAUUAAGCUGUCUCUUGAGUUUUACAAAGCUUAUUGAAGAAAGCACAGAUAUCUGAAUUCGUACGGUAAUAAGCCACACCACCAAAAGAAUGACCUUAAGAAGCUGAUGGCACAGAAGGACAGUCCACUGGAAAAUAUACUAAACAUGAAAAAAUGGACAUGCGACAUCCAGGACAGCUACGCAAUAGUGAAUGUAAAAUAAGCUCACUACUGCCACACAGUGGAAGAAAAGGAAUAACAGCAGGGACAAAGGGCCACAUUAAGGACAUUUUAAACUUUAUUUAACAUUUGUUAAUCAGGAAAGUCUGACUUGGAACGAAGCCAAUUUUCAGCAGAAGUCUGGGGAGAAGCACUCCAGAUGCAUGUCUUCAUAGCAUGGGAGGAAA